AAGAUGGUUCUGNUAUCGCNUUUAGAUGGANCCCGCGGCGUANUAACUAGUUGGUGGGGUAACGGCCUACCAAGGUGAUGAUACGUAGCCGAACUGAGAGGUUGAUCGGCCACAUUGGGACUGAGACACGGCCCAAACUCCUACGGGAGGCAGCAGUAGGGAAUCUUCCACAAUGGACGCAAGUCUGAUGGAGCAACGCCGCGUGAGUGAAGAAGKYYUUCGGAUCGUNAAACUCUGUUGUUAGAGAAGAACACGAGUGAGAGUNACUGUUCAUUCGAUGACG
rnacentral:rRNA from 1 species